rnacentral:tRNA from 1 species
CUCCUCGUAGUUCAACGGAUAGAACAGCUCCCUCCUAAGGAGCAAAUGCAGGUUCGAUUCCCGCCGAGGAGA